rnacentral:rRNA from 1 species
CCUACGGGGGGCAGCAGUGGGGGAUAUUGGACAAUGGGGGAAACCCUGAUCCAGCGACGCCGCGUGAGUGAAGAAGUAUUUCGGUAUGUAACGCUCUGUCAGCAGGGAAGAAAGAAAUGAUGGUACCUGACCAAGAAGCCCCGGCUAACUACGUGCCAGCAGCCGCGGUAAUACGUAGGGGGCAAGCGUUAUCCGUAAUUACUGGGUGUAAAGGGAGCGUAGACGGUGAUGCAAGUCUGUAGUGAAAGGCGGGGGCCCAACCCCCGGACUGCUCUGGAAACUGUGUUACUUGAGUGCAGGAGAGGUAAGCGGAAUUCCUAGUGUAGCGGUGAAAUGCGUAGAUAUUAGGAGGAACACCAGUGGCGAAGGCGGCUUACUGGACUGUAACUGACGUUGAGGCUCGAAAGCGUGGGGAGCAAACAGGAUUAGAUACCCGUGUAGUC